AGCUAGGUUCUCCUUUCUGUUGAUCUUUUGAAGGUCGAUGUCACCUCAAUCUACGAUCUCUCGGAUAAGGUAAUAGCAGCAUAGAAUAUACUUGGUGCACUGAUGGGAUCUCGACUCUUUGACUUGAGCAAUGGCUCCAGUAUUAUUGCAGUAUAACAAGAUAGGGCCAUCAAUGGAAGGUGCCACUUCGAGCUCAUCGAUGAACUUUCACAACUAUAUAACUUUUUUUACAGC
rnacentral:lncRNA from 1 species